rnacentral:lncRNA from 1 species
UGAAAUUGCCUCAUCUGCUAGUGGCUGUGUCCAUGUCUAGUCCCGCUUCCAUGGAAACACAUGUCAGAGCUGCAAACACAAAGUAAUGGUUUCCAAAAGCUGCCUUAAAAAUAACCCUGAGCUUACUGUUGUUUUGUUUGUGAUCCUCUCCAUACCAAGACUGUAAGGAGGGUUCCCAGAUAUACCAGACAGAUCAGAGAAGAUUGGGAGAUUGCUGAUCAGGUCUUCUGGGGACAAGUCAGAUUCACUGUACAUGAAUUACAUAGUAAGUGUAGUGUGUGUGGGGGGGGUGUGGAUGUGUGCAUGUGUAUGUACAUCUCUACCCUUGCCUUAAGUUUUCAACAAUAAUUGGCUUAAUUAGCCAUUGCUGUUUGUCAGCAAGAGGAGAGCCUUCAAAUAUACUUUUACAAAGAAA